rnacentral:rRNA from 1 species
UACGGAGGUGGCUAGCGUUGUUCGGAUUUAUUGGGUGUAAAGGGUCUGUAGGCGGUUUAGCAAGUUGGGUGUGAAAUCCCGUGGCUCAACCACGGAACUGCGCUCAAAACUACUAGACUAGAGUUUAGGAGAGGAAGAUGGAAUUCCCGGUGUAAGGGUGAAAUCUGCAGAUAUCGGGAAGAACACCAGUUGCGAAGGCGAUCUUCUGGUCUAGAACUGACGCUGAGAGACGAAAGCUAGGGUAGCGAACGGG